rnacentral:lncRNA from 1 species
UCACCAAUAGCUUUUCUUUUUUUUAAAUAUUCGUGUGGCUGCAAUUAAUUUUAAAACCCACAUUCAAAACCCAUAUCAGAUAACCCCACAACAAUAACAAUAAUAAGUAAAUCACAUGAAUUUUUUCAAACCCAUAUCAAAUCUAGAGAUGUAAUCUCAAGUUUUAGUAGAAAUCUUCAAAUCGAUUUUAAAAAAACCCACGUCAAAUACCAGAACAACACAACAAUAAUAAUUCACAUGAAUUUUUCCAAACCCAUAUUAAAUAUGGAGAUUAAUCUCAACUCAGAUUUUAAAAAACCCAAAAAUCUACAAACCCAGAUCGAAAAACCUUCAUACAUCUCCCAAUUGAUGACCACAACCCAGAUUUCAAAAGGAAAAAAAAUCCACGACAGUGGAUACCUUAUAGAAAUAGAAAUCUCGCAAGCUCAAUUGGAAAUGGUGGGUCAUCUCUUCAUCUCGAGAGAGUGGGUCUUCUCUUAGGCUUGCAAGGGGCUCUUCCUCUUCCUUCGAUUCCCAUCUGAGAGCCUGCAUGCCUUAGGUCUUCUCCAGCAUUGGGUGUGUCGGGCUAUUUGGC